rnacentral:rRNA from 1 species
UAUGGCUCAGGAUGAACGCUGGCGGCGUGCUUAACACAUGCAAGUCGAACGAAGCAGCUUCUGCUUGCAAGAAAGCUGACUUAGUGGCGGACGGGUGAGUAACGCGUGGGUAACCUGCCUCAUACAGGGGGAUAACAGUUGGAAACGACUGCUAAGACCGCAUAACCCGCUAGUGUCGCAUGACACGGACGGAAAAUAUUUAUAGGUAUGAGAUGGGCCCGCGUCUGAUUAGCUAGUUGGUAAGGUAACGGCUUACCAAGGCGACGAUCAGUAGCCGACUUGAGAGAGUGAUCGGCCACAUUGGGACUGAGACACGGCCCAAACUCCUACGGGAGGCAGCAGUGGGGAAUACUGGACAAUGGGGGAAACCCUGAUCCAGCGAACCGCCGCGUGAGUGAAGAAGUAUUUCGGUAUGUAAAGCUCUAUCAGCAGGGAAGAUAAUGACAGUACCUGACUAAGAAGCCCCGGCUAACUACGUGCCAGCCGCAGC